rnacentral:lncRNA from 1 species
GCAGACUGCAUCUCAUUCCUGAGAGAAUCAUAUGGAAAUAUUUUGUUUACAGAUUGCCUUGCAGCGUCUGCCCUCUCGCUGGGUCAUGCAUUAAGGCAGGCAAGCAGGAGAAGCGCCGGAAGGUUGAUCAAAGAAGGGGAUUAUGGUUUCUGAUGACUUCCGCUGGCACUCUGAGCCCAAACCAAGCGUUCUGAAUAGAGGACCUGAGCCCUAGGACCAUGCCUCAGGACUACCUGGUAUGAUGACUCCUUGCUGUCCCCAGUCCACCUGGCCGUGCUGCUGCUCCAGUUUCAACUGUUCUGCCUGCGGCUAUGGAACCCUGACCUGUUCACCGGACGUGCUUGUUGCACCCUCGACAACUACUAUGAUUAUUAUUAUUUGACCAUGCUGGUCAUUUAUGAACAUUUUAACAUUUUAACAUUUUGACCAUGUUCUGUUAUAAUAUCCAGCCUGCACAGC